CAGCAGCCACGGUAAUACGUAGGGUGCGAGCGUUAAUCGGAAUUACUGGGCGUAAAGCGUGCGCAGGCGGUUGUGCAAGACAGAUGUGAAAUCCCCGAGCUUAACUUGGGAACUGCAUUUGUGACUGCACGGCUAGAGUGUGUCAGAGGGGGGUAGAAUUCCACGUGUAGCAGUGAAAUGCGUAGAGAUCGGGAGGAACAUCAGUGGCGAAGGCGGCCAUCUGGGCCAACACUGACGCUCAUGCACGAAAGCGUGGGGAGCAAACAGGAUUAGAUACCCAGUAGUCCCGGUCUCUUAUACA
rnacentral:rRNA from 1 species